GGUAGCUCAGUGAGUGGUUAAAGCAUUGGGCUACUGAUCAGAAGGUCAUGAGUUCAAAUCCCAAAACCACCA